rnacentral:rRNA from 1 species
GAAUUGGCGGGGGAGCACCACAAGGGGUGGACGUUGCGGCUUAAUUGGAGUCAACGCCGGAAACCUUACCGGGGGCGACAGCAGGAUGAUGGCCAGGUUAAAGGCCUUGCCGGACGAGCUGAGAGGAGGUGCAUGGCCGUCGCCAGUGCGUGCCGUGAGGUGUCCUGUUAAUUCAGGCAACGGACGAGACCCGCGCCUCCAGUUGCGACCGGGCCGAAAGGCGCCGAGCACUCUGGAGGGACUGCCCCGGAAACGGGGAGGAAGGAGCGGGCUACGGCAGGUCAGUAUGCCCCGAAUCCCCCGGGCCGCACGCGACGUUCAAUGGUGGGGACAGUGGGCUGCGACCCCGAAAGGGGAAGCCAAUCCCUAAACCCCACCUCAGUAGGGAUCGAGGGUUGCAACUCGCCCUCGUGAACGCGGAAUCCCUAGUAACCGCCCGUUACCACCGGGCGGUGAAUACGUCCCCGCUCCUUGCACACACUGCCCGUCGCUGCAUCCGAGCUGGGACUGGGCGAGGGCCCGUCUCGUUGGCGGGUUCGAGCCCGGUCCCGGUGAGGAGGCAGAAGUCGUAACAAGGUGGCCGCACGGGAACGUGUGGCCG